UACGGGGGGGGGCAAGCGUUGUUCGGAAUUACUGGGCGUAAAGGGCUCGUAGGCGGCCAACUAAGUCGGACGUGAAAUCCCUCAGCUUAACUGGGGAACUGCGUCCGAUACUGGAUGGCUUGGAUUUGGGAGAGGGAUGCGGAAUUCCAGGUGUAGCGGUGAAAUGCGCAGAUAUCAGGAAGAACACCGGUGGCGAAGGCGGCCCACUGGAUCGGUACUGACGCUGAGGUGCGAAAGCGUGGGGAGCAAACAGG
rnacentral:rRNA from 1 species